rnacentral:rRNA from 1 species
GAUGAACGCUGGCGGCGUGCCUAAUACAUGCAAGUCGAGCGAACAGACGAGGAGCUUGCUCCUCUGACGUUAGCGGCGGACGGGUGAGUAACACGUGGAUAACCUACCUAUAAGUCUGGGAUAACUUCGGGAAACCGGAGCUACUACCGGCUAAUAUAUUGAACCGCUUGGUUCAAUAGUGAAAGACGGCUUUGCUGUCACUUAUAGAUGGAUCCGCGCCGCAUUAGCUAGUUGGUAAGGUAACGGCUUACCAAGGCAACGAUGCGUAGCCGACCUGAGAGGGUGAUCGGCCACACUGGAACUGAGACACGGUCCAGACUCCUACGGGAGGCAGCAGUAGGGAAUCUUCCGCAAUGGGCGAAAGCCUGACGGAGCAACGCCGCGUGAGUGAUGAAGGUCUUCGGAUCGUAAAACUCUGUUAUUAGGGAAGAACAAAUGUGUAAGUAACUAUGCACGUCUUGACGGUACCUAAUCAGAAAGCCACGGCUAACUACGUG